rnacentral:misc_RNA from 1 species
UCCGGUUUGUCACCGGCAGUCUCGCAUGAGUCCCCAACUAAAUGCUGGCAACAUGCGACGGGGGUUGCGCUCGUUGCGGGACUUAACCCAACAUCUCACGACACGAGCUGACGACAGCCAUGCAGCACCUGUGUUCCCGCCAGCCGAACUGAAGGGUCCCAUCUCUGGGACCCACACGGGACAUGUCAAGGGCCGGUAAGGUUCUGCGCGUUGCUUCGAAUUGAACCACAUGCUCCACCGCUUGUGCGGGUCCCCGUCAAUUCCUUUGAGUUUUAACCUUGCGGCCGUACUCCCCAGGCGGUCAACUUCACGCGUUAGCUUCGUUACCAAGGGAAUCAAUCCCCCGACAACCAGUUGACAUAGUUUAGGGCGUGGACUAC